GAGAAAAUGGAAGUUGAAAACCAAGUAGAAGAAAAAGAAAAAGAAGAAGAAGAAAAAAAAGAAAAAGACAGCGAAGAUGAAAAAGAAUCUUCAGAUGUGAAAAUGUCUGAAAAGAUAGAAGGCGAAAAUACUGGAGGAAAAGAAUCGGAUGCUAUUAAUCUUCCUGACAAUAAGGAUGUCGAAAACUCAGGAAAAGCAGAUUUGCCUAUCAAAUCCGACACAGAUGAUACAGAGAAGAAAAAUACGGAUAAUAUUUCUAGUGAAAGUGCUUCUGACAGUGCUGUUGAUGCAUUAAAGUUAGCAUUUCAGGCUGUUGGUUUCUUUUCUGAAAACGGAGAGUUGGGUUCAUUUGCAGAAGCAGGAAACCCCGUGAUGGCCUUGGUAAGUAAAGUCAGUUUGACGAAGACCCUAUUUGUAUUUGGUCUCGCUGGAGUUCUACAAGUGCUGUUUGAGUAGAGCUAUAUGGAAAUGCACUAAACUGUUCAAUUCAUCAAAAUUUCUUUGAUAGCUUCCCUUUGUAGCACAAGUGGAAGCUUCAAACUGGAUUCUUGGUCUUGGGGUUCAGAAGGUCUUCUUCAGCUUUCCGACAUAGCAAUAGCUCCAAACUUUUUGUAUGGUGCGACACUUGGCUGUUGCUUGUUAGAGUAGAGAAGCUAUUCCAAACUCGAGCCAAAUGGGCUUGAGAUGCAGCUACCUUCGAAGUGGUUUUGCAUUGAUUGUAAACUUGCUUAGUUUUCUUUGCUUUGCAGGCAGCUUUUUUAGUAGCUCUAGUGGAACAUGAUAAUGCCAUUACUUCAUGUCGUAGUUCACUAAAAGCCAUUUCAGAGGAAUCUCCUGCUAUCCAACUAGCUACAAGACAUUGCUUUAUUCUUGAAGAUCCACCUGGUGAUAUGAAGAGGUUUAUAGUCUUUCUGCUUAUAAUUGCUGUCUCACUUGAUAACACCGUUGCAGUUUGUGCUGUUCUUUUUUCGUAAAAAAAUUUCUUCUUAUUAAUUCAAUUAAAUUUACAGCAAAAUUGCAAGCAAGGGUGCUGAGUGUCAAAAAGAUGAAGAUCAAACACUAAGUUUGAAUGGCACUGAUAAAUUGAAGGACAGCAAAGAACAGAGUGAGGAGAAUGCUCUUUCUCUUGAGAAGAAAAUGGAUCCAUCUGCGUUAACAAAGGGUGAACUGAAGCUGCCAGAUGAGAAGGUAUUGGGUAAUGAAGGCCCUUUGUCGGAGGCAGCAGUGAACAACAUUAGAAGUUCUGGUGAUCAGAAGGAUGCUACUGAUGCCAAUUUACCAGCAGUUCCUCCAACAAAUAAUACAAAAGAAUCGGUUGUUUUAGAUUCACGAGAAGCUGCUGAAAGUGUGGAGAAGAAGAUGAAUGACUUGAAGUCGGUAGGAGAGGAGAAACCACUUAAUGUAAAGGUGGGCGAUUUAGAUUCACAGGACAAGGGCGAGAUAGAUACAUUAAAGAGUAAAGAUACUGGAGCUGCGCCGGCUGCCAAUGGGGAACAAGAGUCCAAGCAAACAAGUGAACCAGGUUCUACAUUACAAAAGAGGGAGGAGGCUGGUAAGUGUCUUCAGCUUCCUAUCUCCAGCUUUGUAUGGCCAAUUAAUGGAAUUUCUAUUAUAGAUUUCUGUUUUCUCAGGCAAUCAUGUUGCAGUUCUAUAUUUGAAGUUACAUAAGUGAGUUAUUUUUUAUUGAUUGGCAAACAAGUGCUUAGUAAUAACCUUGAAGUUACGUAUAGCAAAAUUUAUACAUGCGUUUUUCAUUUAUGUAUUCAUGAUUAUGUCUCAUAGUUCAGAUAACAAAGGCAUAUAGUAUUGUAUCAUGUUUUUAUAAACUUUAAUCCAAUACUUGCUGACUUGUUUUGUAAAUCAUUUUCUACACUGUUAACCAUGUGAGAACUACGAAUGAACUGUUCGAAACUUUCAACCUAGUUUAUGCUUAGGAUUGGCUCAUGCAUCUUUCGUGAGAUGUGCUUGGUUCCUUUUCAUGACGUUGGCUUAAGGGAUUCAUUUAUAAGAUGUUAAGGUGAAAGCUCUGGCAUGAAGGCUGUUAGGAUCUUUCGAUCUCCUCAUGGAGGUCUCUUCUUUUCAAAGGGAAGGAGUGCCUUCUAUCCCUUCUUCAAGGGGGAGGGUUUCUAAAGAAAAAUAGUAGAACCAUACUAGUGGCUGUUCCUUAUGGCUUAAUAUUCUCCCAGCUCAAUACAAAAGAGAGAAAGAAUGUGCCUGUUUGUUGAUCACACUGCAUGACGAGUUCCUAUCCUAAUACAACUCCGCAUGGAACCACGUGGCAUAAUAAAAUUUAUAAAAGCUAUGGAUCAGUUAAGCAGAACUCUUGGGUUUGAAAAAUUUACGAUCAGGCAGCUGAUCUUGUCAACUUCCCUGUAGUCAGGCCGGUUUAAAGUGAGGUGGUUUGUGCCAAACCCCGUGUCUUGAAGCUCGCCUUGUCUCAAAGGUGUCUUCUGAUGGUAUUCCUUGUUAAGAUUCCAUGAUGAUUUCGUCCUCAAUUAAUUGUAUAAAUUAGAGGACUGGCAGUCGCUUUAGAGUGAUGUUAUCGUAGAGGUAAUGCAAUUCUAAUAUGGGUUUGAGAUUUAUGUGUUUUUGAUUACCAUUGGUCUCUUAAAAUGAAUCUGCUGUAGUGGAAGUGGUAAUUUCUCAAUCAAAGCGAAUCCUUAAACUUGAUCUGAUUCAGCAUCUCUUAUUCUUUUGAUUCAGAAUCAUCUUUUGUUUUGAACUCUGCUUUUUCACUACUACUUUGCAUUAUCAUUUCUGGUUGUGAUGUGGGGUUGACAAGUUUGUAUAGUAAAAGGCUUGCGGUGGUCUCUUUGGGAUUGCAUGAUAAAGUAGAGAAAAAUACUAAUUGUGUUGAAUAUGCACGAUCCGGACCUAAGUAUUUACCCAUCAAAAUUUGGAACAGUCCAAUUGAGCAGAUGCUUCUAGUGGUUGACUUGUCUGCCUAUUUCUCGAUUGAUUGAAAAUUUUCCUGCUUUUCACUUGUAUACCUUCGUAAAACUAAAUUUUCUAUAUAUAAUAUGAAAAGUGCAAGUUCCUAGAAAAACACCUUUAACUUUGGUUGGGCAGUCAUCCAUCCAGUUCACGAGAUGACGUUGGUCUUGAAUUGGAGAAUGAAAAUUCGAAAAAAGCAAUAUUUCUGUCAGUUCAAAGGGAUAUAUGUAAGAAACUAAGUUUUUGAUGGUACACAAGUAAGAAACUAAGUUUCUGAAGGGCAUAUAUGAAUAUUCAGAUCUCGCAACUGUAUAUAUGUACUUUUAUAUCUGUAUAUAUGUAAAUAGUUCUUUCCUUUAUGUGGAUAUUGUUUUAGCUUUACUGAAUUUAUUAUCAGUUAUAAUGUUUGUGGCAUGCAACUCUUAGGAUUCUGCUUCUUUUGCUGAAAACAGCUGGACCAUUCAUGUUACUGAGGAGUCGCCCAUAUUUGCUUUUUUUUUUUUUUUUUUUUUUUUUUUUUUUUUUCUUUCUUGGUUUCCUUUAUCUUGCAGGUGAGGGAGAUAAAAAAGAAGUCGCAUCCACUGAUGACAAGAGUGCCAACUUGGAUUCAAGCCAUGGUAAUUAUGCUCUAAUUAGGUUAAAACGUGCUGCAGCUACUGCUCUUUCGGCGGCUGCAGUGAAUUCUAAGCUUCUUGCAAAGCAGGAGGAGGAACAGAUCCAGCAACUUGUCUUAUCAAUUAUAGAAAAACAGGUAUUUUAGCAAUACGUUGAAUCGAUGAUGAAUCACUCUAAUUCAAGGAUAUCAUGGGAUUUUAAACAACUGAGAUAAAUGGGAGUCAGAUUUAUCUUACGAUAAAACUUCUCUGUUUAGGGAGAGGAGUUGGGGUAAAUUGCACCAUAGCUCCUUUUACAAUCAUUUCAGUUUGGUCCUCAGCCUUUUAUAAAAAGCAAUUGGGUCCUUGAACUUCUUAAUUUUUUGCAAUUGUACCAUUUUGGCUGAAUUCCUCCAUCAAAAUGGAUAGAAAUAUACAUGUAAUUGUCAUCUUAACAUAAGCGAUUUUUGAAUUUCUCAUAUCGCGAUUAUGUGGGCAUUUCCAUCCAGUCUAUGGAAUUUGAUGAACAGGGUAAGGGUGCAACGGAAUUUAUCUGAUUGCAGCAUAUGAAAGGUUGAGGACCAAACCGGUACCUCCUAAAAAGGUUGCAGCACAAUCCCCCUCGACCGUAGGCCAUUUUGAAAUCGACCUCUCAACCUUAUUUCUUUUUUUCCAUUUACACCUUUUCAACUGUUGCUUAUUUGGAUCUGUGUUUGAUCUGUUGAUUCGAUUAUUUGUUAAAUUCAACAGUUGUCAACUGUUAACUAUUAAUAGAACAAAUCAGCUACAAUUUCGUUGCUAAAAGACAGGCAAAUUUGUUACAUUUAGGGCAAUUGGUGUUAAUUUAACCCUAUACUCAAUUCAAUUACUGGAAAUAACUCAAAUUAAAGAGACAGUGCCAAUCGAAAAGUAGAAAAAAAGUUGAGAACUUCCCUUCAGAUAUAACCUAGGGAUCUCCUUACAUUUUAUCUUCUUUUUUUUUUGUGGCAAUUAGCUAAAGGCAUACUACUACUGUUAAUGGCUGUGUUAUAUGUGCAGUUUCAUAAAUUGGAGUCUAAAUUGGCACUCUUUGCGGAUCUUGAAAACAUAAUCCUGAGAAUAAGGGAACAAACAGAAAGAACUAAACAAAGACUUCUUCACGAACGCUCGCAAAUAAUUGCUGCUCGACUGGGUCUGCCUGCGCCAUCUUUUAGACCUAACCCAACUUCUGUACCGCCGGGCAGAUAUCCAGCAGGCUAUGGGAUGCCAAGCACAAAUUCAUUAAACGUGGUCGCUCAAAAACCGCCUGCUAUGAGAAGGCCAUGAAGUAUGUCUUUUUUCUAAGUACAUUGAAGCUCAGCACUUUGUAAAGUAUUGCUGAUGAUAUCAUAUUGCUCACAUAGUAAGUAGUUCUUAAUCGCUGAUUUGGUUGAUAACAUAUACGGAUAGCUAACUCUUGCUUUUUACUUGACUAACGCGUUAAAAAUUUUCAGGAGUCAGCAUCAUCAUUCUUAAGUGAAGGUUUUGUGCUGAUAUGCACUGUGCUGCCUAUGAACUAAAAUGUUCUUAUUGUUAGUUUGAAGGAUUCUUGUUUUUGCCCCUUGUACAUGACUCAGAAGCAAAUUCACCGAGCUAGAAUGUUGUUUUACAGUGGGUAAGCCAUUUCACCAUGUAAGCAUUGGUCCUUUUUAAUGAAAAUCCAUUUAGGCUCCAUGAGCUCUAUUUUAGUAAGAAUUGAUUGCAUAAACUCAAUUUAUAGGUCCCAUGAUAUCUCUACUUUUUUUCAAUUCUUUAAUGUCUUAGUUGUUGCUGUUAUACUGACAGUUUUUCUAUACUCAACUUCAGCUGCAAGCUCCAAAAGAUGCUUGCCUACUUCUAUUUUUAUUUAUUUUACUUUUGAGAGGGGAACCUUUUUUUUUUUUGGUUGGGGCCGCAUUUGUGGUGGGGGGGGGGGUGGUCAUAAUUAUAUAUAUUCAAUCCAAUCAUCUAUUUACAGUUUUAUAUUUACAUAUAUACCUUUUUAUGUGCUUACAAAAAUAUCUUUAGUGGGGAGUCCAAUUUAUGGACGGAAGUUGGAUUAAAUGAGCUUUUCUAACAAGGGUUGUUCUGAGGUGCAAGGGUGUCUCAGAAACUAUGUUUUUUGGUGGGCAUCUUUGUAAACCCAGAUCUAACAGGGUAUGCAUGUAAAUGGAUAAUUUUUCUGGGGCAUAUAUAGAAAUAUCACCUUUUCUUCUCUAGUUCAGUUGAGCAUUUGACUCCGUAGUGAAGUGAAUCAGUGAUUGCGAGGAUUAUUUUCUUCUUUAGCAAUAUCUUGUUUACUGUUUUAGUGUUUGCCUUCUCUUAUGAGAAACAGAGAAGGCCAAUCUUUCCUUGUUUAAGAGGAUUUAGAAUGCUUUAGUAGAUAAUUUUUAGCAGGUUGGCUUUUGCCAAUUUGUUAAAUCUAUCUUCAAACUUGAGGCUCUUCAGUUGGAAUGUUGUUGGAGUUUGAGUAGUGUAGAUAUCGUAGUUGUCAAUAUUUGAACGUUGAUACUUUAAAGUUUAAACUAUGCAAGAUGCAGGCCUAGUCAGUUGAAAAUCUUCUUUAUUGUGUUUGUAUUGUUUUUGUUUUUCUCCCCCCUACAGUUAUGGCUGGCAAACUCUGGUUCUUGAUCAUAGCUGAUCUUAAAUUUGUUUGUAAUGUGUCUAUUCAUCAGUUGAUAAGAUUCUCUUUGCAAUCAUUCAGAAAGGAUUUUUCAACUGUUUUUCAUUAGGUUGUUCAGAAAAUAAACAUGAACGUGACAAAGAAAGAUGCCUAAUCUAAUAAUCUUUCCUGUGCGACACCCAUUUUUGUUAUUUUAAAUAUGGUAUCCUUUGAAAUUCUUUUUGUUUGUUUAUUUUCAUUUUCCCUUUACCGUCUUGUUUUAAGUACGGAUAGUGAAAGAUCUAUUGUAUGAAGAUCCUUUGAGUAUAUCUGUUGACAUGUUUUUUGUGGUAGUAGUGUUUGGGAAAAGACCUCGAUUAGUAAUAAACUUUGCUUUGGUCUUCAUGAUAUUCAGCUGCAAUUGCUUUCAAUGGUAACGCAACUCAGAUCAUCAACAUCAGAUCAUCAACAUCCUUUUAUUAUUAAUGGUACUGCUAGCCAUGUUCUUUCUCCAUGGACUGUAGUUUUCAUUUUGGAUUUGUUGUAAUGGUGGUGAAAAGACAGUUUUGAGCUCCGGCUCGGCUCUACUUGGUUUUCUGAGCGGAAUUGCACUAACUUUUAACUGUCUAAUAUGCAUAUCAUUUUAGUUCCUUAGGUCUCUAAUAUUCUCUUAUAAGAAAUGUCUUUGUAUUUAUAUUCUUCACAGUAGCAUAAUGUGGUAAUGAUGUUUGCUGGAAUGCUCUGUUUCCACUUAAGAUCUGAUCAUAAGGGUUUUACGAAAAAUGAAAUAUGGAGAUUGUUGGAAGAUUUGUUAUGUUUUGUUUGCUUUUGAGUUUUUGGUUUUAGUUUGAUUUUGGGUAUGCCAGGGAAUGAUGGUAUAUGAAAAGGACUGAAAUUUUCUGCUAUUUUAUUUAUUUAUUUACUGAUUCAAUUGUCUGUUUAUUCACUGUUCGCUGAAGAUUUGUAGUUACAUUUGCUUGAGAAGUGACUACUUUCAGCUUGAGAAGCUUUUGGUUUUAAAUUGAUUUCGGGAUUCAAAUUUUAAAUUUAAAUUUUUAUAUUGGAUUAGAAUUUUAAGUUUAAAUACGAAUUUGGAAUUUAAAUAUACAUUCUGUACUUAAUUUUAAAUUUUAAUUUUGAUUUCGAUUGUACUUUUAAUUUUAAAUUCAGUUUAUAUUUAAAAUCAUUUUCUAAAUUUAAAUUUAGACUUUAAUUUGUUAUUACAAUAAUUAAUGGGACCACUAUAUUAAAUUUAUAUUUUUUAAUACACUUUUUACUGGUUUAUAAUAAUUUAAUAAAAUUCUUACCAAAAUAGCUUUGUAUAAUAAAUAGCAGUUUUGACAAAAAUAGCUAAAUGUUAUGCAUUGUUUUUUUUUUUUUUUUUUUUUUUNGGAAAAUGAGUCCUACCUCUACUUUUAGAUGUAAAAUUGAAGUUAACAUUUUUUGAAAGCUACCGACCGUCUCUAGAGUAAGUGGCAAAGGGUUUGGUGGUUGGUAUCCGAGAUCCAAGUUCGAAUCCUAGUUGAUUCACAUUUUCAGCUAAUUUUAUUUCUAAGUGAAAUAAACAAAGCGGGUAGCGUGCUAUCUAUCUCUCAAAAAAAAAAAAAAAUUUUUUUUUUGAAUU
rnacentral:lncRNA from 1 species